GUGGGGAAUAUUGGACAAUGGGCGAAAGCCUGAUCCAGCCAUGCCGCGUGUGUGAAGAAGGUCUUCGGAUUGUAAAGCACUUUAAGUUGGGAGGAAGGGCAGUAAGUUAAUACCUUGCUGUUUUGACGUUACCGACAGAAUAAGCACCGGCUAACUUCGUGCCAGCAGCCGCGGUAAUACGAAGGGUGCAAGCGUUAAUCGGAAUUACUGGGCGUAAAGCGCGCGUAGGUGGUUUUGUACGUUGGAGGUGAAAUCCCCGGGCUCAACCUGGGAACUGCCUCCAAAACUGCAUGACUAGAGUACAGUAGAGGGUAGUGGAAUUUCCUGUGUAGCGGUGAAAUGCGUAGAUAUAGGAAGGAACACCAGUGGCGAAGGCGACUACCUGGACUGAUACUGACACUGAGGUGCGAAAGCGUGGGGAGCAAACAGGAUUAGAAACCCUUGUAGUCC
rnacentral:rRNA from 1 species